ACAGAAUCAUAAUGCCCACCUUAUGGGAGUCUCAGACAGAUAAAUGAUAUGAAAUUCAAAAGGGUACAGCAGGUAGGGCCAAGGGUGUCAGGUGGGUGUGAGGGUGCGGGUAGAGAAUCAGGCAGAGCCCUGCUGGAGAGGUGGACAUCAAGUGCAGAGUUGAGUUGUCUAGGAGCUACCCUAGAAGCUCUGUGGAGGCUGUGCCAGGUGAUCUGUCUAUUUCAUGUGUGUUUGAGGAAUAGUAAGGAGGCCAGCAGGGCUGGAGCAGGGACAAUUACCAGGAAGACAGAGUAAGGGUGGCAGGAUCUAACACUCUGCUUGCUAGGGUAAGCAAAGUGCUGGAGGGGCACAAAAGUGAAGUAGGAUGACCUGUUAUAGAGUAUAGUGGAAAGCAAGAACAUCUCACAGAUAUGGUAGCCACUGGUGGUCACCUUCUGUGUAACUGAAGGCAGACCCAGCAUGCAAUCCUAGGGCACAGGGUAUGAGACAUGAGAAAGAACAGUCGUGGAUGGUGAAGGCUUUAUGUGUGAGCAGUUGGAAGAUGGCAUCUUUAUCAGCUGCCCAAGAGACAGGACCUCAGCUGACCCUGCUGAGCUCACAUUCAGCCCCACUGCUAGGUGGAGCCACAUCUGUGGAUGGUGCUGCAGACCAUCAGUUACAGCCAGGGAGGAAGAGAAAGAAAGGAAAGGAGUGUCUCAGGUGCACUCUGAAGUUCACAGCAGGGCACCCCUUACCUCCAUAAAUGCACCAGAGUGAGGUGAGAGGAACUCUGAAAGAAAAAGGACAUCUUUUCUUUCCUGUGACAAGUAAGUAUUCCAGGGCAGAAGAAGCUACAUGCAGGUUCCCUACUGGGAACAUUUUUGGGACCUUGCCUUGUGCUAAGGAAAUGUGCGACCAGCCUUUAUCAUACCUAACUGGCCAUGGUGAAAGAUACCAGAGAGAGCAAGGAAUGCUCCUGACAGCCCCACCUUGCGGUCAGAGGUGGCAGCUCUGCACUCCCAUCUGCAAAGCGACUGCCAACAAGUAGGGCUGGGACAGUUCCAGGUAGGACGUGUAAUGGGGCUGCAAACAAGCAUGAGCUCCUUGUUUCUCAGUUUUUCUCCUCUCUCUGGCCUGUUACCAGCUCCCUUGCUAACUUCCUCUGAGUGCCUGUGCG
ensembl:lncRNA